GGACCCGCACAAGCGGUGGAACAUGUGGUUUAAUUCGAUGAUACGCGAAGAACCUUACCUGGGUUUGACAUGUUAGUGAAAGUUUUCUGAAAAGAAUUCCCUUUAAGAGCUUGCUCUUAAACACUAUCACAGGUGGUGCAUGGCUGUCGUCAGCUCGUGUCGUGAGAUGUUAGGUUAAGUCCUGCAACGAGCGCAACCCUCACUUUUAGUUGCCAUCAUUUAGUUGGGCACUCUGAAAGAACUGCCAGUGAUAAGCUGGAGGAAGGUGGGGAUGACGUCAAGUCCUCAUGGCCCUUACGUGUUGGGCUACACACGUGCUACAAUGGUAUCUACAACAGGAAGCAAGACUGCGAGGUCAAGCAAAUCCUUAAAAGAUACCUCAGUUCGGAUUGCACUCUGCAACUCGAGUGCAUGAAGCUGGAAUUACUAGUAAUCGU
rnacentral:rRNA from 1 species